rnacentral:rRNA from 1 species
ACGAAUGCGGCUGAAGUGGCUCCCCGUCANGNUCAGGAGAUGUCGCGUGGGUCCCGCACGGCCCGCCGACCGCUCUGCACUUCUGCGGGGAGCCGGCCAACGGCAGUUGUCUCCGGCCCACGAGGGCGUCUGGGGAAGGUGGCUCCGCGCUUGCGUGGAGAACUUAUAGCCCGGCGUCUGGACGUUCCGGAGGCGACUGAGGAGAGUUGCGAGUCUUCGCACGUUGCGGCGCAGGCCUCCCCCGAGGCUGGGCCGCUUCCGUCCGGUGGGCGGCCGAGGCGGUCACUGCGUGCAGUGGCAGUCUACGGUUCUCGUCUCUCCGGGCGGGAUGUCGGUCGCACCUUGUGCCGCGGUCGUUGGUGCCCGAAUGGCCGCAUCCGA